GCGAAGGUGGCGAAAUUGGUAGACGCACUGGAUUUAGGUUCCAGCGGGGCAACCCGUGGGGGUUCGAGUCCCCCCCCUCGCACCA
rnacentral:tRNA from 1 species